AUGGUGAGACCUCAAACUCAGAGAAAAUUUUGGCGGGCUCCCAGGAGGAGCGCCACCAGUCCUAAUGAGUCAUCUAUUUUGGAACUGCCGGGGGCGGGGAACCGCCGGACAGUUCGUGAAGUUGGGGCUCUUGUAAAAGCCCAUUCCCCAAGCUUGGUCUUUCUCGCUGAAACGAGACAGACAAGUGCUAAAGUUGAAAGAAUGAAGUGGAAACUAGGUCUCAAAGGAUUUUGCAGCGUGGAUUGUGAAGUCCGGGGAGGAGGAAUAGCGUUGUUUUGGGAUGAAUCC
rnacentral:rRNA from 1 species